AGUGAACGCUGGCGGUAGGCCUAACACAUGCAAGUCGAACGGCAGCACAGUAAGAGCUUGCUCUUACGGGUGGCGAGUGGCGGACGGGUGAGGAAUACAUCGGAAUCUACUUUUUCGUGGGGGAUAACGUAGGGAAACUUACGCUACUACCGCAUACGACCUACGGGUGAAAGCAGGGGAUCUUCGGACCUUGCGCGAUUGAAUGAGCCGAUGUCGGAUUAGCUAGUUGGCGGGGUAAAGGCCCACCAAGGCGACGAUCCGUAGCUGGUCUGAGAGGAUGAUCAGCCACACUGGAACUGAGACACGGUCCAGACUCCUACGGGAGGCAGCAGUGGGGAAUAUUGGACAAUGGGCGCAAGCCUGAUCCAGCAAUACCGCGUGGGUGAAGAAGGCCUUCGGGUUGUAAAGCCCUUUUGUUGGGAAGGAAAAGCAGCAGGUUAAUACCCCGCUGUUCUGACGGUACCCAAAGAAUAAGCACCGGCUAACUUCGUG
rnacentral:rRNA from 1 species